AUCAUCUGGCUGGUUUUUUCUCCUUCCUUCUCACAGUGCUUUGUGCUUCUCUGCCUACUCUGCAUGCCAGAUGUGAAGACUGUGCUCAGAGAUGUCAAACAAUUUGGAAGUGUCACCGAGCUGAAAAGAUAUACAUUUGGAAUUUGAACGCAGGCAUAACAUGAAACAUCCACCCUUUAGGGGAGGUUCUGGGUGAUAUUCAACUUGGCUCUCUCAUCUCAGCUUGGCAGGACUCAUCAGUAGUGUCCUUUCCAGCACAAAGGUGAAGAAACCCUCCAUCAACACUCCUCUUGGAUAGAAGUCUUAUUUCUCCCAUCUCCUUCAAAAGACGGAAGAUUCUGCUCAGAAUUCUAAAUGAAGCCCCAAGUAAAUAGGUGUAUUUCCAAGCAGAACUAUUCCUUCUAAGUCUAUAAUCUUCUAUCUGAAAAGUCCUGGACAUUCCCAAAGUCUGCCUAUUGGUAGUCUGUCUGUAAAGAACUAAGACUGUAUUCUGUGGCACUUCUGAGCUUUAAGAAUAUUGACUGAUGAGCCCAUCCACAAUGGAAAAGGCCUAGGCUAUGAUGUAUGAGGAGAGACUCCUGAACCAGUGGCUUCUUUGCAAAAUUAUCAUCAGACAUGGGAGGGAAACCAUCCAGAACCAGAGAGUCCUCAGCUGAUCUGCCUUGCCCCAUAUUCUGUUACCUAACCUCUCCUUGGCUCUGAGCUACUUGACAAUUUUCUAAGAAAUUGCCUUUUACUAAUCAAGCCAAAAUUCGUCACUAAUAUGACCAAGAACCCAAAAUAACAUAGAUUCUUCAACUGGGACUUUGACAGUGCAAGAGGGUGUGGGGUGGGAUAGCUUGACAUUAACACACAACCACCAUGAACAGAUACAGAUUCACUUAGGUUAUGAGUGAAUCAUCUGCAGUCACUUAGAUUUGGUUAUCAAAUAUGCCUUACCAGGAAGUGGUUAAUAGAACCAAUUAUGAGGCAGACAGUAGUAUGAACUUAGCCACCUCUGAGUAGGAAUUUGAGUUUCCACUUGUCAUUUACUUUUUUAAAAAAAACAAUUAAUAUUUAAAAUUUUUUUGUUGGAGAAUAGUUGGCUUACAAUGUUUUGCUAGUUUCAAUUGUACAACAAAUGAAAUCAGUUAUGCAUAUACAUAUAUCCCUUCUUUUUCAGAUUCUGUUCCCAAACAGGUUAUUACAGAAUAUUGAGUAGAGUUCCCUGUGCUAUGCAGUAGAUCCUUGUUAGUUAUCUAUUUUAUAUAUAGUCAUGUGUAUAUGUUAAUCCCAACUUCCUAAUUUAUCCCUCCCCUUUUUAUGUGUGUUGUAUGGAGCUCAGUCUAGAAGUUAUUCAAAGAAUAGUUACAAUAUUUGAAGACUUUGUGUCCUAAGCAACAUUCUUUUUCCCAGUUUCAUUGAAAAUGAUUGACCUAGAAUAUUGUAUUCUCAUCAUCUGCUUUAUGCUUUUGGUAAGUUCAUGUAAAAUCCAUAUAAAACAUAUGACUUAUCCUAGGAGAUACCACACAUUAAUUUUUUCCACCCAUAGCUCUUCUCAUAGGCUGAACUGUGUGAUUAUUGAUACAUGUGUCUGUUUUUACUAGUUUAAGGACAGUAGCUCAUUGUCAUUGUAUUUCUUCAGUUCUAACCUAGGGUUGAUUGGUGGCUAAACUAAGGCAUGUGUAGAUGUAGGCAAUUUAGAGAAGAUCCUGGCUUGUUGAGCUGGCUAUCACCACAGAGAGGCAAGUAAUUAUGAUACCAUGGCCAGACACACUGCUUUAUAGACAGAUGAUGCUCAAUAAAUGCUCAUUGACUUGAAGUUAAGUAGUUUUCCAAAUUUGGAGAAUUCUAGAACAAAGGAACCCAGAGUUUUUGAUAUUAUAUAACCACUUACAUGGUAAAAGAAAUUCCCUUUUGAUACACAGAUAGGUGUAUCAAAGAUGAGGUGUCAUGAAAAGAUGGAAAAGAGAUAUGAAAUCUAAAAUCCAAGAGGAAAAAAAAGGCCUUGGAUGUUAAGUAACAUUUCCUUUUUCUUGCACAGGGUCAUUCCACCAAAAGCUCUCACAAUCUAUCCAAAGACUGUAAAUUUGGUGUUUUGUACAUUAGAAGGUACAUUCAACUGACAAUGCUGGGAAAUCCAUUUUUACAACUUAACAAUUUCUGUCAACAUUUAAAAAAUGUUUUCUGUAUCCAUUUCUUGGGAGACUCAUAAAGCUGGCUUUCCUGAGUGUUCUUGGUUUCUGCUAUUUUUUCAUUCUUUAACUUUUUUUUUCUUUCCAUUUCAAGAAAAGCUAUUGGCCAUUUUCUCACCUUCUUUGGCUUUGGCUCUGAUGCUGGGUGGUUCCAAUAUAAUUAGGUGAGAUUUUUAUAGGCCCUCAAAGGCUAACAAAAUAAUAAAUGUAGCAGUUCAAAUAAUAGCAAUCAUAGCAGGUCAAGCCAAAAAAAAAAAAAAAAUCCUUUGGACUGAAAUUGACAAACCUUAAUGUUAUCAGAGUUUGGAAAUGCAACACUGUCUUUCUUAUUUUUAGCUUUUUUAAACUUUUUUUUCCUUUGUAUUACACAGGGAUAUUUUCAUUCUUUUCAACUGUUACUGAUUUUUCAAAUUUAAAUUUUCAAUGCAUAGAUUCUGCUUACUAAGAAAGUAUCAAAUAUUAAGGCAAAAUGAAUCCUUUUCCAAAAUGAUCAUGUUUUUUCUAGACUCUUUCAAAGGAUACCUUUUCUUUAUUUACUGUCUUACAAAUCAAAAUGUUACAAAUUUCUUUGAAAUGCUUUAUUUGAGCUUAAAAAUAAUGUGUUUAUUGAAUAAAAUUAAACUAUAGAAAAGCACAAAGAAAUUACAAUUGUUAUUUUCCUAGUGAUAACUAGCAUUGCCCUUCUAUGGCCUUCUAGUCUUUUUUCUCUGACUGCAUGUUUAUGACAUAUAUGCAACUGGAAUCAAGCUUGCUGAUUAAGCAGUAUGAAAUAAAAAUUUCUUGACAGUAAACAUAAGGGCUUAUAAAUCUUGAAGUAAUAAAAUUUCAAGUGUAACCCUUUUAUA